GCUUUUGUUUUUGUUUUUGUUUUUGUUUUGAGAAAGGGUUUUUCUGUGAAGCCCUGGCUGUCCUGGAACUCCUUCCAUAGCCCAGGCUGGCCUCAGGCCACCACAGCACAUCACUUGACUUUUUAGUAGUUGGCUGAGAUGGACUUUCAUAAAUACUAAUUGAACUUAACCUCAACAUUAGGGUGCUUCUGAUUUGCAAACCACUGGAGAAUCUUCUCAAUCUUUGGAAUCCCGGAGGCAAUUGCAUCUUUUCUUAAGCCGGAUCCAUUAUGGAAAAAACUUGGAGACAGAUGCUGUUUCUUCUGUUAAGCUUCUAUAGUGCUGGCUUUGUGUCUCCUAGCCAUCAAAGUGAGCAUGAUAAGCCCUCAUGCUGAGCAGCACCAGGAACCCCGUCCUCUCCAUCAGCAGGGGUACUUGCUGACCUGCCCUGCUGGGGAGUACUCUCUGAUGAGGCAAAGGGAUCCUAGCUCUACUGCCCUAUCCAUUAAACAGGGUUUGUUAAACAUGUGAGCUUGGUACAGUCAGAGGGGACCAGGCUCAGUUGUAUUUGGGCAGGUGUUUUCGCAGCUCCAAAGGAACAAUAUCAGCAAACUCGGUGGUACCAGUAAACUAUUUAAAAAAACUCUAGUUCUCUCGAGGUCCUUGGGUGACCGCUGUAACUGCUUCAGACCUGUGUCAUCCGGAUGUUGGAAUAUGCCUAGUCUGUCCUUGCCUUAAUAGGCAACUAGCUACCUGUCUGGAAGCCAGCACAUGGCCUCUGAGCAGGCGCAGAGUGGCAGGCUCGGUGACUCUCCAAGUGUCACAGAUACUGGGCCCCUCUCAGUGUCAGUCAGGCAUCAGAGGUGGCUUUCUUGACUUUCGCAAUGCUCUUCUGAAAUGCUAGCGUCCUCCUUCCCGGCUUGAGCUAACAGAAGAAUCUUGUCUGGUUUGGACACAAAAGUGUGGCACCCAUGUCAGGAGGCCUGAUUUUUAACAGCCCCUUAUAAAGUAGCUUCUGCCUAGUCACUCUCUCACUAGAGGACUGCCCCUUGCAGGCUCUUCCAGGCUCAUCCUCCUGCUGUCCUGGUUCUGUAAGGAUUCCGCCAGCUUUCUAACCACCAUUUUCCUCUGCACCAAUUAGUCUCCUACGUAGGGAAGCAAUCCUUUGACUGUUUAAUGACUAGCCCACGAGUAAAGUCUAAAGUUCCCCAUACACUUGAAUUUCCCAACUCACACACAAAACAAACACACACACACACACGCAGAGUCUAUUCCCAUCCUUUUAGACUAGCCUCAUAAUUCUUCACUUCAACUUGAAGAGUUGGAACUCGUCGCGUUUUUAUAUUGCAGUUGAAUGCUUCUCUUUCUCUCCUCUGCAUCUAUUUCUUCCUGGGGCCAGUUCUGGGUCACUGCUUGGCUAGUUUCCAAAUGCUUUGCUGUAUUCGUUUUCUCUAGACAGUGAGUGACAGUGGCCCCCCACUUUCUCUAACCCAGACUGAACCCUCCGCUCAUGGCCGCAGCCCUAGAGCUAUUCAAAUAUGCCUUCAUGAACUAACCUUUCCACCUUCCCUGCCAAGUCCUGGUCUGUUCGGACUGAACUGAUUCAUGAGGAACCCACUGGUGAAGCUCUUUUCCUUGUGGCUUGCUCCAGGCCUAUGCCACACAGAGUGGGAAGGAAUUCUAAGGCAAGACUCCUUCUCACAAAAACCACCUGCCAAGGCAAGUGGGCCCUGCGGGUGCACAGGGCCUCCUGCAAGGUCUAGAGAUGCCUCUCCUCUUUCUUAAUCCCUGCCUGUAGGUUGGAGUGAAGGAAAGGAAAAUCUGUAGUACUUUUUGAAGUCUUUUCUACUCAUCAGAAAAACCCAGCCAAACAUCUGCAGGCAGGGGAGGGGUGAACGGUCAUUCUACCAGCCAGGUUAGGUGACCCUUCCUCUGAUGUCAAGACUAUAUUCUGAAAAUCCAGUUCUUCAAGACAUAGUGGGUCUCCAGAGAUGGGUGGGAUCUGUUCUCCACUCAAGUGCCUACUGCUCUCCAAGGUGGAUGAUACACCCCCUACAAGCCUUCUGGCCUCAGGUCUCUGGGAUGGUAUUUGGAGUCACAUGUGUGACUCUUCAGGUGUCACAACCUUGUGGUCCCCAUGAUUUUGAUUUCAGGAAGUGUCAUGGUAUCUGAGAGUGCCAAGGACUCAGGUGGGGGUGGGGGUGGGGGUGGGGUCAUUGGUGAGAGCACGGCUGUGGCCCAUGCUUGCAAGAGUAGAGUGCAGAAAGGCAAGAAGCAGUGUUGAAACACGGUGUUGGAGAAAAGGCAACCUGAAAAUGUUCCCUCUCAAGAGUGGGCCCUCAGACCACAACCACCAGGGCCUCCUGGAAGUUUGAUAGAAUACUGUCUUUGGGACUGCACACACCCUGAAACAGCAUACCACAUGACAGGGAAGGUUCCUGUGGGUAGAGCUGAGGAGUCUUCAUGUGAUGUGUGGCCUUGACCUUGUGUGGUGGUCUGGGGGGACAUUCUCCUGGAAGCUCCACUAAGCUUGAAUGUUGGUGUCCAUGGACCUAGCUCCUCUCCCUAUAGCCUAUCAUUUCCAUUCGUUGGGCAUGUGUAUGACACAGCAGCCUCUUCCCCCUGCUUCCAGAGUGUCUGCCUUCCCUGGCUCCCCAGAUUGGGAAGCACAUCACAGGUGCCUCUCACCCUUAACUCCGGCAGAAGUUGCAGUUGGUUGGCCUGACCAUCUAGUUGGGGUCUACCACAAACAGUGCUCCCUGGCCUCUUAAGGGUGAAGUUCAAGGCUUUUGGACUCCUGGGACUCUUGGUCGCUAGGCCAAAGAUAGAUUCAUUCAUUUAAAAGUUCACUUUGUUGUGAACCUAAAAAGAUUUCUAUACCUGUGAACCCAAAACCGUACUCCUCCCUGAUGUAUGAAGUUAAUCACACACUCCUUCAGUCAAUGCACAGAUGAGUGGCUGCUGGCCUGCCUCAUAUCCUCCCCUUUGUAUCAGAAGGGGAGCCCUAAGACCAAGGUACCCCAAGGAGCAUGACGAGGAGCACAGGCCCCGAACGUGAGUCUUGCUCAGACCCCCAGUUCAAGUGGCCCAGGUGCAGAGAAAGUUUCCUUUCUUGGAGUGGAAACAGUUGGAAUUCACAUAAACUCUCUGAGCCCCAGUGUCCCCUGGGGCAGAAUGAGUACACAGAACUCUGCAGUCUCUGUAGCGCCUAUAUCUCAAACACCUACACUACAAAUUCCCAGGAUGUCAUCCUUCCCUGCGGGGUGCAGUCCUCAGGUAGACACGGUAAGGUGGACCUUUCUACAUUCUAGGACCUCAUCCCAAGGAAAACUACUAACAUGUCAGAGAAGAGAUACAGUAGUCUGAAACAUAACUCUGAUAGAAUGUAGUCUAUGACCAUGAAUAUUGGAGAGACACCUGCACACAAACCAAACUGGAUCCAAAGCUCACACGACGGCUGUUUCAGUGAUAGAAUGGGAAGCAUCAGGGUCCCCAGGGGCUGUGAUGGCUGAGAGAAAGACAGGUGGCCGGGUUGAUAGGUGUGGUCAUAAGCAAGAAGAUCUAGCCCCAUCUCCUCUUGGAGGCCUCAUCUGACAGGUUCCACAUAGGCCAGCAGGUUCCUCAUGGACCUUGCCCAGUGUCAAAGUAUAUUCACUGAGCUGCUCUCUGCCAGGGGAGAGGAGAGAACAGGUUCAGAGUUGGUACACUGUUCCAUCCGGAUGAGUGGGCUUGCGGGGAAGCCCAUGUUCCCAGUUGUGCAACGAACAUUAAGAUGGGCCACCAUCCUUACAUAUAUCAUACCUCCAUCAUUUUUCAGGCUGGAAAUGUAAAAGGGGGCGGGGAGGAAAAAAAGAAGGCUAUUUGGCAUGUGCUCUGCUUGGGAGCCAUAACCCAGGUCCUCACCUCUCUCACUUCUUCUACAGGAGGCCUCUCUCAGUCUUAGCUUUUGGUGACAUAGGUUAGAACUGGCCCUCAAAGUACAGUUGGAAGACUCACUUUUAAAUAUUUAUGGACAUGGAAGAACACAUGCUGUAUGAGGUGAGGAGGGGGGAAAAAGAAAAAAACCAGGUCAUAUGGUCCAAUUGUCAAGAGGAAAAAAGAUGCCAAGGAAAAAAUACAAGGAGCCCCAAAGGUCAUUUGUUGAGGGAGAGCUGAUGACUCACUGCUCGGGCCCUGAAGCCUUCAUGUCUCCCUCCUAGCACUUUAUUCUCUGUUGUCUCUGGCAGCUAAAUAUUUGGUGUCUCUUCUCCACUUCCCCUGCCCAUUACCACCACCUCUCCAGGCCAAGUCGUGUUCCCCAAGCCUGCCCAUUAGAAGGGUGCCACCUGACACAAGUGCACAUUCCUUAAGUGUUUUCAAAUGAUGGGUGAGAGGACGAUGAAGACACUGCAUUAGAGGGAAGAGACACCCAAACACCACUGAGAUUAACUAACUGCUUUGCCUUCUUAUAUAUACUAUUCAUGGUCCAAAAUUUGGUCAAAAAGAUUACUUUUUCAGAACCUUUUGACCAAAAAAAUCUGCUUUGUAAAGUAGCCUCAAAUGCUUUCUCCUAACUUCAAGCUGACUUCAAUGUCACUAAUCCAGAGAGCAUCAGGACUCAAUGGUGUCAGCAGUAGUGGUCACUACACAAGUUCCAGCACAACACUGGGACACGCUGUCUGAUAAGGCUUUAUAUGCCUCACUUUUAAGAACAAUGAGGCUGAGUGUUUGAAAUGUGGAGGCCUCUCAAAUCCAAGCAGGGUUUCCACAUCCAAUUCCCUCUUCCCUCCUGUGGGAAGAGGAUGGCAGAGCUAGUGUCAUGGGCUGCUUCCCCUCCCUCCACCCCCGCCCCCGCCCCCAACAAAGGCAGUCUUCUGAGAGUACCUACAAUAAGGAAAACAGAGAUGUGUACAAGAGAAAGACACUUGACCUGUGCAAUGUUCCUUCCAACCCAGCUUUGCUCCUCAGGGCCAAGCCUACUCUGCUUCUUCUAGAAGCAGGACAUGAACUGCAAAAUCCUCUCUACCUCCAGCUCCCUACUCUGCCUUUAUCCAGAGCCACCAUUCUCCCAAGCAACACUAACAACUUCAAACUCUUGCCUCACAGAAAGAGAACUGCCUCAGAAGAAUAUACCCCUGCCCCUUAUUUACCCUCUGCCCCUCUGGAGUCACUCCACAGACCUUGUUGAGGUUACCAGCCACCCCUCUGCAUGUCUGGACCCUGGCCUUGGACAGAAUCUAGUGCUGGGUAGGGACAUAAAACUGUGCAUAGCACCCAGGUCCUCAAAGGCAGGCAUCUAACUCUGCUAGUAGGGGAUCUGGGCAAACUCAACUACCAAAGCCUAGAUUUCCUCACUUGAAAGUAGAAAGUAAUACAGUCACUACUUUAUCCUGGCUGCCAUACACAAUAUCACUACUGAAUGCCUGGCAGUGUCAGGAAGUACCUUACAAGUCAUUAACACAUCCAGUUCACAAUACCCAGGCAAGACAAACUCUAACUUCGUUACAGUCAAGGAGGGGGGUGCUCACAGAAGUCAAGAGAUGCAUCUAAGCUGCAUCUAAGGUCACAUAAGGUAGCAAGCUGUAGAGUUUAAGAGUCUUACCCAGGGAGGCUGGCUUCAUAGUCCCUGGCUCAGCUUACUGUGCAAAGUGAGUCUCUCUAUAACCCAUGUAAAAUUCUUCCUGCAUUGCCUGAAACACAGUAGAAGCUCAAUAAAUAGAGGCUAGCAUAUGCCAGGCUGCUGGUGCCUGAGUAAAGCAGACACCCAUCAUGACGGGGCUCUUGUAUGGAGGCUCAUUUCCCUCCAACUCCAGUAACCUUAAAUCCAGUGAAUUCACUGUCCACCUGGCUAGCCCAGCAGGCCCACACACUGUGCCCAUGGGCCCAUGAACAACUGUAGAACACAUAACAGAGCACACCUCAAUUGUUAACUGCCUCACACCCUCACAACAUGGGACGGUCACUCCUCCUUGUCUUGUGAGAGCUGAGAACUUCAGUAUCUUAGCAAAGUAUCAGGUGGAUGGACAGUCCAGAGGGAGCCUUAAGUCCUAGCAAUAUUCCAUGCCCCUGGUUCAGCUUCCAAGUGAAAAGGAGAUUAUUCUGUUUCAUUAGCUGCUUUAUGCAGUGCUUAUCCGCUGGCUGUUCUUCACUUUUGUUACCACAACAUUUCCAGUAAUUACGUCCCAAGCACAGUGAUUCCAGCCAAAGUAAGGCGAGACGAGAACUUGGGUGCUUUACAGAGGCCUUGAGGGGAUGAGGAAGGAGAAGAAGAACCUCAGAUAAUGGCACAGAUGUCAAGGCAGGCAGAACCCGAAACAUCCUCAAGCUCUCAUAACUCAGUCAAGUGAGUAUCGUAGAGGAAAGCACUCAGUGCUGAAGCAGCAGCAAUCCCAGCACUCAUCCGCACACCCUCAAAGGGGGCAAAGGAAGACACCGGCAAAUCCCACAAAGCAGACGCCUCUGGGUAAAAGGCCUACGGCCACGUCACAAGCACCGUGUGGGCUUGUUAUUUUUAAAGUCAAUCCAAUAGGUUUGCAUCUUGGUGAGUGCAAAGCCAAAAUAAGCACAGCCAAGACAUGAAAGAGCAGAGAAAAAUGCAUCGCCAGUAGCGGGCAAUGCGCAGGCAUGAUUUUGAAAGUCACACCUUCCCCAAAUGAGAGGAAGCAUAGGAUUUUAUUGUAGAGGGGAUAUAUAUAUAUAUAUAUAUAUAUAUAUAUAUAUAUUCAUGUAGGGGUCAGCCUAUUCAUGAGUGUGCUCAGUUUAAAAAUCAAAUUCUUUAAAAAGAGCAGACAAGCAUUUGGAGGCAUGCUUAGCUCAAAGUCAUGGAGUACUUAUGGUACCUAUGUAAAAGAUUAUUAAAAUGAUAGGCAGGGAUGUCUCUGGGCCUGCUCAGUUUGCACCAUAAAGUCUUGUUGGUUUUUUAGUAGGUCUCAGAUCUUCACACAACUGACAUCGUGAUCGGAGUACCGUUUACUGCUGUUCGGUCUUCCAUCUCACAGGCAGCAACACAUGCCAAGACAAGGUCAAAAACCCAAUUUGUCGAAGAAGUCCAUAGUUCUGGGAAAGUCUCUAAAUGUACUAACCUUGCUUUUUCGCCUUCUGGAGUUCCACUUCUGGUUAGCUGUUCUUGCUAAGUGAGGAUAUGGUUUUGUUUUUGAAAACUUUACCCUGAGAAAGGCCAAGGGCUACCCUGGGAUCCUGCUGGCCAGCUGAUGAAGCCUUUCUACUGCUUAGAGCCUGUGUCCAAGGAGUCUUCUCCGGAGGACACCCUACAACAGUUGCAAAGUACUUUGUUUUGAUCUUACCUUUUGAAAUUACAUCAUUUCCCAUUUCUGUUUCCUUCAUCCAUCCCCUUCUAUAUAUUUUCCUCCUCAAAACUCACAGCCUCCUUUUAAUUGUGUGCAUACAUACCUAAAUAUGCCUGCUCAGUUCAUAUAAUGUUACUUGUAUGUAUAUGAUUUCAGGGCUGAAUUGAAUGAACAACAACUGGGGGAGUUCUUCCCAGUCACAGCAUGCCUUAGUUGCCUGUAGUUCUCCAUCUAGGGUUGGGGACCCAUAAGACAUCAGCAUGUCUUCUGUUGGCAUCCUCGUUCAGGUGUUGUUCAGGCACCCAUGCUGAUGAAACUUCAUGAGUAUAGCUUCUCUAAUGUUUCUAGGAGGCACAGUCUCAUGGUAACUCCCUGAUUCUGUGGCUUUCACAGUCUUUUCUAUGUCCUAUUCCAUGAGGCUGUGUGGGCUUUCGGUGCAGGAGUUUGUCAUUGGCCUACCAGUUGGAGCUGGGCUCCACACAGUCUCUUCUCUGCAUUCUGACCAGUUGUGAUUUUCUGUAAUGGUCUGUUGCAAAGAGACAUUUCCUUGAUAAGAACCAAGAACUACACUUAUCUAUGGGGACAAGUAUAGACAUUUCGAAUGUAGCUAGGGGUUAUGCUGGCCUGGUGGUGGUUGUAGCUUUUCCUCCGAGAUCCAUGAUUUAUCUAGCCCAAUGUAAGUUGGCUAAGUUUCCUGUACCAGGCAUGAUUUCCCGCUUGCCAAGACCAAGUAGAGAACAUUGGCUUACUAUCAAGGCAUUCAUGUCACUGUUAAAUCUUUAAGGUUAUGACACCACACUAGCCAUUGUUGUAGUUUAUAAGCAAUAAUAGCUAGGUAGGACUAUUUUCCUUGUAAAAGUAUGUGCUUGGUACUUUCAGGUCAGACCCCCAAUCCAGGCCCUCUAGGUCCUCUGCCUGAAGUUCACAUUGUCUUUAGCAAUAGGGGCUUACCUUCUACCUCUAGGGACAACCAGCAGUGUUUUGGGAGUCUCUUGGGGAGUCCUGGCCCAAAACUCAAAAAGGGGGUUCUCAUGCCAACGGCUGGUGCUUCUGUUAGACUGUAGGUUUGGGGGAAGCAUUGUCAGCCCACAAGUUAGAAAGAAAUGAUGCCUUUGAAGGUGUUAAUCAGCAAUCGACCCAAAGAUGCUUGACUUGCUUAGUCAUUAACACCAUGAUGAGAUCAGAAAUAAAAGGGAACUUUUCUAAGAGCUACCAGGGAAGACCGCCCCAGCAUGUCCCUGAACCUCAGCUUGGGGCAACUAGAAAUGGUACUGCAAAGCCCCAGGUACACUGGUAGAAUUUAGAAAGGCAAGGCCAAGGGAACUGUUUGCCCAGAACACAGUCUGAGUCAGGUCAUGGUCCACCCAGCUAUUCCUAAUACUUGCUGUGUACAAGGUCUGGCCCAAUACCACACUAUAGAUGGAGUAUACCACUCAAUUAACCUUGUACCUACCUCCUAUAUACUCAAGACCACAUACAGCUGGGGUAACAUAACAUAGAAGUGACACAGUUGCACACAGCUCUGGCAGGAGAAAGUGACUAGAAUCUAAGGUAAGGAUCUAAUGAUUUUGCCAACACUGUCACCUUCCACAAAGGACUAGCAACAGGCUCAGUCUUAUGCAGAUAAUUCUGUGGAUAGUCAGAGCUAUUCUGAUAUACAUAGUGACAGCCAUGGUAUGCUCACAAGACAGAGUUCCCCAACAAUUUAUAAACAUGCAAAUGCUCCUGGGAAGGACAAUCCUAACAUAACCCUGAGCCCAGCUUGGUGCAACCAGACAGGGCACUACAAAGACCCAGGUUCCCUGGGAGAAUUCAGAAAGGCAAGGCCAAGAGUUCCUGGGCAUACAGACUCUUGGUCCAGCAAACAGACUCUUUUACUCAUCGGGGAGCUACCACCUAAGCAGGGUGCCUCUUGGAAUAUGUGACCUUAAUUCCCAUCAGCCCAGAGCUCAGGCAUCCUCUGCCACCCUAAAUGGUCCUUAAAAGCUCUUAAGGCCCUAAAAAGGUGUCUCCCAUCUCUCCAAGUAAACAUAUUGGAGAGGGUAAGAGGUUCAUGGUCCAAGAACUACCCCUUACAAACCUGUGAGCCUGUGUGGUAACUGACUUUCCUAGCUCAGUUCCCAUGAAGACAAAGAAUUGCCAACUCCACUAUAUGGUGCUGGGACUCAGAGAAUGUUCAACCACCAGACAUGCAGUAAGCUGAUUUUUCUGAGGGAGAGCAAUGGAGGGGGAAUAUCAUUGAGAGGAAACAGAUCCUGGUCUGUGCAAAUGAUCGCAGAAUCCCAGAACAUAUUCCAGAGAUAAUGCCCACCUAAGAGACCCACUGAGAAACUGAAUAAGAAAUUAUAUGCCAAGGCUCCAGGUACAUGAAGGACCCCAAAGUUAUUGAUAAUGGUGACCAUUCCCAGACACCUAUAGCUCAUAUCUCAAUUCUUUCUCUUUUUUUCUUUUUCGGUCCCUACCUGGGCUAAGUCCAAGCCUGGGUCUUUCUCCCACACCUCAUGUCUCGCCAGCCACCUCUAGACCCUUCUUCCCAGGCCCAAUGACCUGUUCUUGAUUUUAUCAUUCACUUUCAUUCAUGUCAUUCAUCUUUCUCAAACAUGAGCCUAUGCUGUACUUUGGCAACAUCCCCCGUGUGGAGUCUUACUGCCCUUCUUAAUGUCUUUGUGAGGUAUGUGGGACUGUGGAAGCUGUAAGCGCUAACACCUGAAGCUUCUGAAGGUGUGGGAGGAGCCUGAGGGUGACUGGUUUGGACUCCAGUAACUGAAAAAGACUUUCGGGGUGGAAGCCACAAGGUUUUAUGGCUUGGUAUCUUGUCAGAGAGAUACUUGUCACUGAACAACACUAAACUAGAGCUAAUCUUUAAAUGAUCACAAGGGCUAGUGGAGAGAGCUUGCCCUGUUUCAGUGAGCUGCAAGCUGGGAAUCACACCAGGUUCUCUGCCAUUUGUUUCUUCUCGGCCACCCAGCUGGCUUCUUGCAAACUUAACAGCUCACAAUGGUCUUACCUACUCACAAGGUGGGUGUCAGAUGGACCAGUCAAACAUUUUAGAGGCUUUGCUAACAAAUACAUGUAAAUUUAUUGUGGCCCCUCCACAGCAUCAAAAAACAGCCCAUCUUCAGGAAGGUGGAGCGUGCUGGCAGAUAGUCUAGCCCACUGAGCCUAACAAUAGCAAGAAAUGCUCAGGCAGUUACCUACCAAGGGGGGAAAUACUCUGCAGACCAAAUACUCAGGCCACAGUGCAGGUAGUGGUUCCAACAACUGCCUGAAAUGCUUACGUUAUGUUGGUUGCCAACAAGAACAGGAAAUACAGUGAUCUCACCAAGUUGUUUGCUGUGUAUUUCAUGUUGAGUCCCCAAGGAGGUUUCUGAAUUCUCACAAGAGUUCUACUACAGCUGAGCUCAAAGCAAGCACUGGCUCCCACCUGUGAUGGGGAGCCACUUGGCAGGCUUGAUGGGAGCAGGUCUGUGCUUCUGCAAAGCAGAUGGAGUAGUCAUCUGACGCUGGCCACUGUCUUCAUCGAGGCUGACUCAUGAUGUUCUUUGCUGAUGUUCAUAACCUAGUCCAUCCCCUCUCCCAGAGCUAACAAUACCAAGGAGCCAAUCAAAUCUCCUGAAGUUACUUUGGGAGUGAAAGCCUCAUCAGCAGGUAUAGGGGCACGUGUUUACCCACCCUGUAGAAAUUUCUCUUCUGGUUAUUUCCCAAUUCCAUCUGAAAAGUCCCUAAAGCCAGCAUUUUACUGAAAAGGGCAGGGAAGGCACAUAACUAUAGUCUUAAGACUUCCAUAGGGACUCCCACAACCUUAGAAAAUACCAUUUUGGGUGAUUUCCCCCUCUUGCCUGCUGUGUCAGCACUUUUGGUAGGAAAUGCAGGCAAGGGGGAAGACAGGCUUGGGGAGCCAUGGACCAUCUAUCUCUUCCUUCCUAGACUCUGGUAGCUCUUAUGGAGCACAUGGGGGAAGAAAGGCUUUCUUUAUGAAGAAGAGACCAGGAUUUAAAUGGACCAGCCAUAAAUUAAUCCCUAAAACCAAAGAACAAGCUGCACUCGUAGCCAGCCCUCCACCGAAAGGGGCACUGAUGGACUGAGAGUAUGUACCUCUUUCCUCCUUGGCUGGCUCAUCCCUGGAUGUCAGGAGGAACAAGAGUGGCUGUUCAGUGCUUGAAUACAAGAUCGAUAAACCACUGGGAGAGUCAAGCAGACCACACCCAUCAAUCAAGUUCUUGGUGAUGUUCAACGCAGUAUGUUCACAUGAAUGAUCUUUAUUUAAGUGCCUAUGGUGUUGAAGUUUCAUCAAGGAUUUGGAAGGUCACUGUCCCACCACUCCUGCCAGUCAGUGAUGAGUGGCUGCCGGCCGGAUCUGUGGUGUUCACACAUAAGGCAGGAGAGUGGAGAAUCCAGCUUUUCCAGAUGGUUCAGCUGCAGUUCUGGAACCCUUGAGUUCCCAGCUCCGAGGCCGAGAGGGUGUACAGCUUUGAGGUGGCCAGCUUCCUAGAGUCACCACUGUGCUUCAGUCCAUGAUGAGAGGAGAGAGAGUCACUCACUCUGUUUGGAAACCCACCCCUCUGGCUAAUGGCAGAAGGAGGAGAGAAGCCAACCGAAAAAGUGAAAUAAAAGGAUCCCAGGAGCACAGCACACCUCACGCUGGCUUAGGCCUGAAAGACUUAGUGCCAGAGCCAGGGUGGACCUUCCCACCUACAGCCACCACCACAACCCCAGUCAGGAACUGGGGAGCCUGACAAUGUGGUGGAGCUGGCCAAGGUACAAGUUUUCACCCAGAGCAAUGGAGCAGGGCAUUAGACAGGCAAAAAUACACAAGCCCCAGGACAAAGAUGAAAAGGAAAUGAGAUAACAAGGGUCACCUUCCCAGACGUGACUCACUCCCAGGGUCCCAAAGGCAUUGCUAGUAGAUUUGCACGGAAGCAUUCCAGCUACAGCAAGUGGGGAGACUCCAUUAACCUGAGUACUGAGGCCAGGGCCUGUUUCCUCCGGGCCUCCCUGGAAUCCAGAUCCCAGGAUAGGUGCCCGCCUGAUCUCCUCAGGAACAGUGGGGAGCCCUGGAGAAUUUCCAGUCUAGUUCAGUCCAACCUAGCCUGGACUAACUUCCAACAGAGUCCUUAACAGCGUCCUUUCCUCUUCCUCUUCCCCUUCCUCCUCUUCCUCCUCCUCUUCCAGACAAACUAACAUUCAUUUAAAUUGCCACAGUGAUUUCUUAGCAAUACAUUCCUAAGACAGACACCACAGCACUGAGGCGGGACAGAGAAAUGUUUUUACAGCACACAAGGAAAUCACUGAGAGCUGCCUGGCACUUUCCAUUCCCACGAGAAGAGAAAUUAUUUGAUAGGCGUACACACCCAUCCACGCACUGAUCCCUGAUAAUUUGAAAUUCUUCUGUGGCCUAUUGUGGGAAAUCUCUUAGACAGGGUAGAUAGAUAGGAUAGGGAACUUAUACAUCCAUUCUGAAUAUCAUACAACUCUCUCCUAAAUAAAGCCAGACCUGAAGAAGCUGAAAUGAUUUGGGAGAACAAAAUGUCAGGAUUCUCCCAGGUACAUCUGAAGGUCCUUCAGGCCUUUGAGGUGUGUGUGUUGGCAAAUCUACACAUAUAUAGAGGCCAGAAAUGAACCUUGGCCAUUAUUCCUCUGGAGGCAACAAAUGUUUCACUGGAACUUGCUCACUAGGCUAGGCUGGCUGAGCAGUCAACCAGCCUACCUGUCUCCCCAUGCUGGGCCACCAUACUAAUUUUCCUUUAACAUGAGCACUAGAGACCAAACUUGUGCCCCCUACUUGUGAGGUAAUCAGGUUAUCACCCCAUUAGCUAUCUCCCCAGCCCAGCUUUUUAAAAUUCGAUCUCCUAAUUGUAGCUUUACUAUUAUCUACAGUUGUUCUAGAAAAUUCUUUGAAAUCGAUGUUCCCAUCUUCAUUUCUGAGGAAGGCAGAAAACCCCUCAAGACAAGGGUGGAAAGAGCAUUUCAAAGGGGCAUCCGAGGGUAGCCAAGGUUAACUCUCAUCUGGCGGCUGAGAACGAGCAUGACGGUGACAUUCCAGGCAGAUGCUGGACUUGUAGGGUAAAGCCAGAGUUCCAUAAAUAACAUUGGUUUGGGUUUCAACACCUCAGGUGAGAGUCGGCUCCCAGACCUUGACAGCCCGGGCUGCAGCUGACCAGCUUCCCCAUAGGACGCUGACAAGCCAGGGAAGUUUUACCUGAAAGAGAAGGAAGGACGACAAUCAUCACUUCUGCCAGAGCACGGACGCCAUCGGACUCCACCGUGGCAGUUCCCAUCCCAUGGGCCACACUGUCACACUCUGUCCCUUUCCCAUUCCUGCUGUGUGAGCAGUCUUGUCCAUCUACAGCUCUUGCUCCUCACCCAUAAGGCUUUUGAAAAAUGUGCUGUCUGAAAGGUAUAUGCCACUCUUCCAUGUAACUGUCCUCUGGAUCACACAGAAGACUCCGGGGACCCCCUGCCUCCUCCACACACAGCCCCACCCUUCUUAGAGCACAUGCUCUUUUUCCCUUCAAAUCCCUCUUUCCUAGCCCUACAGGUUUUCAGGCCAAAGCAUCCAAAGGUAACUAUUUUAAACCUUGUAGAUCCUGCAGUCUGUGUCAACUAUGAACGCUGUUGUCAUGACAAAAAGAAAAAAAAAAAAGGCAGCCAAACACAGCACAGGACAUCUGAGGAUGGCUGUGUUCAAACUUUAUGUACAGGGACUGAAAUCUGAGUUGCAAUCAACUUUUAUAUAUCCUGAAAUAAUGUUGUCCUUUUGGCUCUUUUUUUCAAACAUUAAAAUGUAGAAAUCAGA